rnacentral:rRNA from 1 species
GACGAACGCUGGCGGCGUGCUUAACGCAUGCAAGUCGAACGGGCCUGCCUGGCUUUGGUUGGGUGGGUGAGUGGCGAACGGGUGAGUAACACGUGAGUAACCUGCCCUCUUCUCUUGGAUAACUGCUUGAAAGGGCGGCUAAUACGGGAUGUUCUGGCUGCCUCGCAUGGGGUGGUUUGGAAAGAUUCGGCCUGGUUUUGGUUGUUUUGGUGGGGGAUGGGCUCGCGGCUUAUCAGCUUGUUGGUGGGGUGAUGGCCUACCAAGGCGGUGACGGGUAGCCGGCCUGAGAGGGUGGACGGUCACACUGGGACUGAGACACGGCCCAGACUCCUCGGGAGGCAGCAGUGGGGGAUUUUGCACAAUGGGCGCAAGCCUGAUGCAGCGACGCCGCGUGAGGGAUGGAGGCCUUCGGGUUGUGAACCUCUGUCGCCGGUGAUGUAGGCUCUGCUUUGUGGGUGGGG